ensembl:lncRNA
AGGAGAAGGAUCUGGAACAGGAAAUGUUUUGAAGUGAACAAGAGCAGAAGAAACAUACUGAAGAUAUUGUCAAUAAUCUUGACAUUAUUCUGCAAUUUAUGAAAUGCGUUCUUGCCAAAAUCCGUCCUCUGCUUAAACUUUCAUCUUUUAUCCGACUAUCUAAAAUUUUCCUAUGUUCUACCUUGAUCAGUAAUCAGGGGCAGUAUCCAGUACUUCACGUCACUGGCAGGGGGUGGCACGUACUAGCGCAAGAGACACUAGCAACAAGCAAGUGCUAAUGAAGGGAACUCUGGGGCUCAGUUUGCCUACCUUUUACAAUAACCGAGGAGUGAACUGCUGACUGCGCAGUCAUACAGAAGUGCUCCUUUAAUUAAAUGAGAGUGUGCAUGGCCACAGCUGUGAGCUACAACUAGCUGAGCAGUCUGGCUAAGCCCCUGUGGAGGUAAGGAACUGCAAAAGGCUAAACAUAAGUGAAAGGAAGAUUACAUAGUAUCAGCAGUUUCAUGGCUUUGUUGUUGCAAACUCUGUUAAGCAUCAGAGUCUUCAUAACUGUCCAUAAGGCAGAAUUGAGCUACAACAACCAAAUAACACUCUUAAUUGUUGCCUCUUGCGCCAGUAUAAACUGUAAGAAAGAGAAAUGUGUGGGCCAGAUAACUUGUGUUUGUGUAGCAGGUGCUUAAAGGCCUGUGGUGUCUAGUCUAACAGCAGGCUGUCAGUGGUGUUGGUAUGCCUGUGAUGCAUGAAUGGAUUUAUAACGCUAUUAAGAAAUCAUCCUAAGGUAUUCUGGCACACAUCUGCUCCUCUGCUCCCCUUCGUCUCUGCAGCAAAUUGGCACCACAAGUGAUUACAAGGUUUCUAUGGCCAUCAGCUUUAAUUUGGAGCCUUGGGAAAGUCUUUCAUCGCUUAAUGCAUGUAAGUGUCUGUGUGUGUUUGUGUUUAAUUCAUCACCUGCAGCUUACACUUCUCUUUCUUCUCUGCCUCAUUGUUUUCAGGCUGCCUGUGUGGACUUGAUUUGAUUUAAAUUAAGGGAUAUUUUGAUUGAAAGAAUUAGUUUGACUAUUGUUUGACAUAUGGUUAUGAGCUAUUAUUGUCCUACUUUUCUUGACUAUAAAUGUUUCAAUGUACUGUGUAAGAAAAGGCAAUCUCUCUGUCAUUUUUCAUUUUCCAUACACAACACUAGCAAAAGCUAAUAGACCACUAUAUUCAUUUGUUGUACUAACUUUAGCCAGUAUAGCAGUUUUUAUUAUGUACAUGUGAUAACUCAUUAGAAAAAAGUUUUCAAAGGAGUCUGUGCAGUCCUUUGAAAUGCAGAGGAGUUCAGCUCAGUGACAGCAAGGCGCCCAAAUCAUCACCCCUCCACCCCCCUUGACAGUUGGUAUGGGUUGUUUGGCUGUGGGUUGUUUGGGGUGGUAGAACAGGUCAGCUACUAACCAGAAGGUUGAUGGUUCGAUCUCAGGCUCCUCCAGUCUGCAUGCCAAAAAUAUCCUUGGGCAAGAUACUAACCCCAUGUUGCUCUCCGAUGCAUCCAUCAGAGUGUGAAUGUGUGUGAAUAUUAGAUAGUGAGCACUUAACAGCUUAUAAAAAGUGUUUGUGUGACUGGGC